UUAAAAAAUUUUAGAAAUUUUCAUAUUAAUUAAAUUGGGAAAUUUAAUUAAUAGCACUUUUUUAUUAAUAUUAUUAUUACUACUUACAUUAUUUUAACUUACAUUAUUUAUUACUAGUUCGUUUGCUAUUUCGGUUCCAACUAAAAUUGGUGUUCUAUACUUUACUAACUAUUCUUAAAAAUAAAUAAAACAAUUUGGGUCACAACUAAUUAUUUUAGCUUACUUAACCAUUUUAUUCCUAUGCCCAAAAUAUAAGUCAAUUUCGAAAUUGGCUCCGUCCAUUUAAAAGUCAUUUUGAUUUAGCCCAUAAAUUAAAUAAUUUCGAAAAUGAGCAUCACUCACUAUGUAUUGCAACCCCAAAUUAAUUUGAAGGGGAUUGGGCUCGGAUUGGGCUCAGAUUUAUUUUGCAUAGCCUAUUGCUAAUUAUAUUAAUGGCCCAAAACCAUUUAAUUCACUAGCCCACAACUUAGGCCCAAUAAAAGAAACCCUCUGUAAAAAGAACUAAGUCUUCUCCCUCCCCCCAUUCAUCAAAUGAACGACAGCAGCCUCUCUUUCCCCUCCCUCUCUCGUCGCCGCCGAUCCGCCACUCCGGCGGCGCCCUUUCUCCCUCUCUUCUCUCUUCCACUUCUCUCUUUCUCUCUUCUCCCGAUCGGUUCGCCGCCGAUCCGUCGCCCUGCCAGCGCCGCCUCUCCGGCGGCGCCUGCUCCUCCCUCUCGUCCCUCUCUCUCUCCUCUCCUCUCCUCUCCUCACAGUUACGCCGCCGUCGCUGUGAAUCCGUCGUCCUCGCGGGUCCGCCUCAGCCGACGUCGCCGAGAAUCUCUUCCCCCAGCCGCCGACGCCGAUUUCCGACAGAUCCUCAAGGCUGCGAUUUUAGUGAUGGAUUUGGGGGCUGUCACCGUCGACUCCGGACUGCCGAAGAGCACAGAAUCGUACUCACGAGAUAAGUUUUCCAACUAAGUGAUUAUUAUUAGUUGUAGGACUUAAUUGUCUAUUUUAUAAAUUUGGUGAAUUUUAAACAAUCGUGUCUACCGAGAAGACUUAAUGGUGAAACAAGUUAAUCUUGGUGUUUAUUGUUAACAUUUGGGCAGAUUCUUCUUCCAACUACAUAUAUGCAUGCUUGUACAUAGAUGAAAGAAAAGAAAGGCUUGGUGUUUACCUCUUGAUGUGGAAGUUAAGUGUUGUUGGAUGGUAGUGUUUCACUCUACGAAUUGUGUGAAAUUCUCCUUCCUCAAACUCCAAUAUCCAUGUUGGCUUGGUGUGUGCGGACAACUUAGGAUUACUUAGGAUUUGAGGGUGAUGUGUGUGUGAGGUAAAGAAAAAUGAUUGUAUACAAUACAUAAAAGGUGGCAUUGAAAGUGACGUGUAGCAAGUUGGUGUAGCAAGUUGCAUGGUAUUCUUAUCUCUAAUUAUUCUCUUUUGUCAGAAGGGAUAUGAUUUGCCUGCCCUCAUUAAAUGAGGCAUUUAAUGUUUUGAAAAAAAAAUCGUCCUCAUGAUCGGCCCUCUCUCCCCCCUUUUUUAUAUAUAUAUUAUUUGUUUAAUUUGGUGCAGGAAAAAAUCCAAUUCCAGUUCGGAGUUGUUCUCGUUGAUGUACCCGAUUUUCUUUAGAACAAAUGAUGUAUUAAAUUAAAUUUUUGUUGGACUUUUAUCGGAUGUAUCAUACAUUAAAUUUUUGAUUAUGGGACCUUAUUUAUUUAUUUAUUUAAAUUUAUUAUAUUAA